UCUUAAUUAACUCACACAUGGGUCGUGCAUGGUAUAUGUGAAGUUUAAUUAAUUAAUUUAUUUGAUAUUAAAGAGAAAAUACAUUCUCAAAUUUGAGUUAAAAAAUAUCUUCACAUAAUGAUUAGCUUUGAUAAAGUAUACCUACACAUGUGUGAGCUUUGCCAAUUACUUCUUUACCCUUUAUCUUUUGUGGUUAUCUACUUUAAUACAUUAUUAAAAAAACUAACGGUAUUUUUGUAAAGCCAUAUUGGAUAUAAUUGAAACAAAAACAUGGGCCAAGGAUAAAAUGGUAAAGUGACAUAACUUAGGGUUACGGUGUGUGAUAAUAGUGUGAAAUCCCAUCCCUUCAUCUUAGUGGUUGGAUGGGGAUGGGUGGCUAGGUACAUUAGCCUCUCAUGUGCUUUUGGAUUAGUGCAUCAAGGGUAUUGAUUGAAUCCAAAGUUAUACCUAUGUUAUAAAAGCACAUCAUGAGAUUUCAAACAAUAUCUAUCUCAACUCUAGAGCCAUUUUGAAAAAUUGUUGCUCCCCUCCUUCUUCUAAGGUUUUGUGAGAGAAAAUUGAAGAAAGAGAGCUUUUAGAGUUCCAUUAAUGGUGGUCAUUCUCUCUUAUGCUUAAGUCCAUAGUGUGCAUUUAUCAAGGUAAACUCCAUUGAAUUUUCUUUUUUUUUUAGGAUCAUAUCCUUGGCAUCUAUAGUUGUUAGAGUUUUUAAUUUAGAAAAGUUUCAUUGAUCUUAGAAUCCACAUUUGAUCAUUUUUUUCAUCAUGCUUAUUCAUACUGUGUUCAUUCAUGAGUUAUAGCCGAUGUGCAUGAGAAUCCAUGAUCAUACAUAGUAUCCAUUAAUUACUUUGCUUCAAAC
rnacentral:lncRNA from 1 species